rnacentral:rRNA from 1 species
AGGACGAACGCUGGCGGCGUGCCUAACACAUGCAAGUCGAGCGGUAAGGCCUUUCGGGGUACACGAGCGGCGAACGGGUGAGUAACACGUGGGUGAUCUGCCCUGCACUUCGGGAUAAGCCUGGGAAACUGGGUCUAAUACCGGAUAUGACCUCCUAUCGCAUGGUGGGUGGUGGAAAGAUUUAUCGGUGCAGGGAUGGGCCCGCGGCCUAUCAGCUUGGUUGGUGGGUAAUGGCCUACCAAGGCGACGACGGGUAGCCGACCUGAGAGGGUGACCGGCCACACUGGGACUGAGACACGGCCCAGACUCCUACGGGAGCAGCAGUGGGAAUAUGCACAAUGGACGAAAGCCUGAUGCAGCGACGCCGCGUGAGGAUGGACGGUCCGUUCGGUUACGUAACCUUCUUCAGACGAGGACGAAGCGACGAAGUGACGGUACCGUGACCGAAGAACGAACGCGAACCGG